rnacentral:lncRNA from 1 species
GGACCGCAGCUCUAUAGAAUUUACGUUUAAGCUUAAAAGGCAUCUUCUUAUCGCAUAAAAUUCCCGAGGCAAGCCUCCAUUUCGUCCAACCUGCCCCAAUACGAUGGGAGACAUCCUCAUCAAUCUCUCCAUUCCCCUGGAUCAUAGACCCAAGAUACUUAAAACUAUCCCUCCUACAAAUCGCCUGCGACUCCAACUGCACCACCACAUUGUCC